UACGGCGGGAGCUAGCGUUGUUCGGAAUUACUGGGCGUAAAGCGCACGUAGGCGGCGAUUCAAGUCAGAGGUGAAAGCCCGGGGCUCAACCCCGGAACUGCCUUUGAAACUAGAUCGCUAGAAUCUUGGAGAGGUCAGUGGAAUUCCGAGUGUAGAGGUGAAAUUCGUAGAUAUUCGGAAGAACACCAGUGGCGAAGGCGACUGACUGGACAAGUAUUGACGCUGAGGUGCGAAAGCGUGGGGAGCAAACAGG
rnacentral:rRNA from 1 species